CCCUUAGAUGUUCUGGGCCGCACACGCGCUACACUGAUGCAUUCAACGAGUUUUUCCUGGUCCGAGAGGAAUGGGUAACCUUUUGAAAGUGCAUCGUGCUAGGGAUAGACUAUUGCAAUUAUUGGUCUUCAACGAGGAAUUCCUAGUAGACGUAGUUCAUCAGACUGCAUCGAUUACGUCCCUGCCCUUUGUACACACCGCCCGUCGCUCCUACCGAUUGGAUGAUCCGGUGAGCUAUUCGGACCUUCGCUUCGUCGAUUUUCGGCUUUGUGAGGGAAAGUCUCGCGAACCUUAUCAUCUAGAGGAAGGAGAAGUCGUAACA
rnacentral:rRNA from 1 species